GUGAUGAGAUCGUGUUCUGUGCCGCCAUAGAACAUGGCUCAACCAUAGCAGCAACCUUCUCUUCUUAUAUUCACCUCAUCGCGGCCAAUCCCCGGCGGAGCCACCCUCUUCACCACCGGCAAUGGGGAUCCAAUUUUAUCAAUAUUUCACCGCCUUAAUGACACAAUCUUUAUCACAAAUAUGGUCGCAAUCAAUUUUACCCUUGGUCUUUUUGAAUUAUUCACACUUGUCUCUCUACGAGGUCUGCACCGUUUGCUUCCACUUCAACAGUCGCCGCCGACGCCGACACUGGAAGAGAUGCCGGUUUUGAUGUGGUGUUGGGUUUCACGAUGGUGGUGUUAGGCAAGAAAGGUUUUGGUGGAGAAUUUUUUUUGUUCAGCUUCAUGGGUUUGUGGUGGCCGGUGGCGACGAACGUGGAGAGGUUGUGGUAGCUGGAAAAGGGUUUGAGUUUCUUUUGCGUGUCUGAAAUUUCAUUAUCAUUA
rnacentral:lncRNA from 1 species